rnacentral:lncRNA from 1 species
UAAUACAUCUGAGUUUCUAGUCAGCAUGUGUCUGAGUACGAAGUGCUUUCGCCUUUAAACAGACAGACAGACAGACGGGGAGAGAAGGAGUGAGAAGUUAUUACGUUUAGUAAAGGACAAGAACUAUUUGUGUAAGGAGGAAAACUGGGGCCAAAAUCCCACUUAUAGCAAGAAGGAGGAAAACUGGGGCCAAAAUCCCACUUAUAGCAAGACUCAUUAUCAUCCAACAAAUGCGAACGCUUCCAGUGAGAUCCUUCCCUGUCUGCAGGCCUCUUCUCUUUGUUAUGGAGCAAAUCUCCUGCCAGGCCACUUUGUUUUAUUUUCGGCAUUCGUGCCCAUUUGGACAAAAAAAGUAAAAACGUACACGCUACAGAACCUCGCUGAAACCCACGUCACUGCUUACGAGGUGCGAGGGCCGCUCCUGCAACACGAGCAUCUCGCUCCUGGAGACGUAAGAAAACAGAAAUAAAACCCGAUGGAACAUUUCUUUCCACUGGCUGGUAGAAGGGUGAGGACAUGGAGUAGCAGGUGACUAUCGUUUCUGCAGCGCCAGAUCAAGUGUUCCAUGACUCACAAUUAGAUAUAAAAGUGCUAAAAUAUCCAUUUCCCAAAUGCCAUUUACGAUUAUUCUCGUAAAUAAUAAAAUCGAGUACGGGCAAAGUGCUCUCCAGUUAUGCUAGCAAAAAUCUGCCAUGUAUCAAUGGGGACAAGUACAUGGUAAAUGUCAAACAACAUUGAAGUAAAGCGGUGAAUCAUAUCACUGUCGUCCGAAUGCAAUGUUGAAGGCUUGCGCCACUCAGUCUGCCUGGCUGCGCCGCUGGAAGUACAAUUAUCUGAAAGCAUUGAAGGGAUUGAGUGGGUGACUAACGGGCCGCUAACAGACGGAAGGGGGAAUAAGUAGCGCAACGGAGGGGAAAAAAAAGCGAGGGAAUCCUUGGUCCAGUGCGUUGAGGAGCCGAGGAAAGGGCCGAGGCAGGCAGGUUAGUCAUUACAGCUGCCAAACAGCUACCGCUAAUCCUGGAUGGACAAUGGCAGGCGUGAAAGAGCAGAGAGAGCAAGAACUGGAUGACUAUUGCUCAGCAAAAAACUGCAGUUGCUGAAAAACCAAGGCCUGCAGAACAACUAAAUCCUGUUAUUUUGAGUGAGUGGGGUGAAGACAGACUGAAAUGACUGCUUUUCGGAUGUUUUUUAGGUUAUGGGUAUUAUUGUUUCAAUCUUGUUCCAGACCCAGAUUCAACAUUGCAUUAUGAAAAUCAAUUAGAAAAAUAUAAAUGACAUGUUUAAAACUAUUAUGAUCCUAAAUAAUAAUAAUAAUAAAAAACUGUCUAACACCGGCAUCAUUUCCACCACAACCAAGAAUUAAGUCAUUCAAAAGUUAACUAACGUACUUCUUUGCAAAAAAAAACAAAAACAAUGUCACAUCUUUGCAUGAACGUAGACAUAAAUAAAAAAAUAAUAAACUUAUUACUGCUUUUGAAGAGAAAAUAUUUUAUUGUGCAUCAUUUCCAUGUAAGAUGUUGUUUUGCCAAAUUAUGCAAAAUGUGAGAAAAAAAAAACAUUAUUGUGUGUAUUUAGUUU